rnacentral:rRNA from 1 species
UUGGAAAGACUGGCCAUAGCGGGUGAUAGCCCCGUACGUGAAAUGACCUGUGUGGUACUGAGCUAACGACAAGUAGGGCGGGACACGAGAAAUCCUGUCUGAAUAUGGGGGGACCAUCCUCCAAGGCUAAAUACUCAUCAUCGACCGAUAGUGAACUAGUACCGUGAGGGAAAGGCGAAAAGAACCCCGGGAGGGGAGUGAAAUAGAUCCUGAAACCGCGUGCUUACAAAAAGUAGGAGCCUCGUAAGGGGUGACUGCGUACCUUUUGUAUAAUGGGUCAGCGACUUACAUUCAGUGGCAAGGUUAACCGAAUAGGGAAGCCGUAGAGAAAUCGAGUCCGAAUAGGGCGAUCAGUCGCUGGGUGUAGACCCGAAACCAAGUGAUCUAUCCAUGGCCAGGAUGAAGGUGCCGUAACAGGUACUGGAGGUCCGAACCGACUAGUGUUGCAAAACUAGCGGAUGAGCUGUGGAUAGGGGUGAAAGGCUAAACAAACUUGGAAAUAGCUGGUUCUCUCCGAAAACUAUUUAGGUAGUGCCUCAAGUAUUACCAUCGGGGGUAGAGCACUGUUUUGGCUAGGGGGUCAUGGCGACUUACCAAACCAAGGCAAACUCCGAAUACCGAUGAGUACAGCUUGGGAGACAGAGCACCGGGUGCUAACGUCCGGACUCAAGAGGGAAACAACCCAGACCGCCAGCUAAGGUCCCUAAAAUUGGCUAAGUGGGAAACGAAGUGGGAAGGCUAAAACAGUCAGGAUGUUGGCUUAGAAGCAGCCAUCAUUUAAAGAAAGCGUAAUAGCUCACUGAUCGAGUCGUCCUGCGCGGAAGAUGUAACGGGGCUAAGCCAGUUACCGAAGCUGCGGAUUUGCAAUUUAUUGCAAGUGGUAGGAGAGCGUUCUGUAAGCCUGUGAAGGUGCGUUGUAAAGCGUGCUGGAGGUAUCAGAAGUGCGAAUGCUGACAUGAGUAGCGUUAAAGGGGGUGAAAAGCCCCCUCGCCGUAAGCGCAAGGUUUUCUACGCAACGUUCAUCGGCGUAGAGUGAGUCGGCCCCUAAGGCGAGGCAGAGAUGCGUAGCUGAUGGGAAACAGGUCAAUAUUCCUGUACCGUUAUAUAGUGCGAUGUGGGGACGGAUCUUAAUAGGUCAUCCGGGUGUUGGAUAUCCCGGUUUAGUUGGAUGUAGGCGUGCAUUAGGCAAAUCCGGUGCACAUAUACCGAGGCCAACGAUCGAGCGGACUUGUCCGUGAAGUGACUGAACGAGGUUCCAGGAAAAGCCACUAAGCUUCAGCUAUAUACGACCGUACCGCAAACCGACACUGGUGCGCGAGAUGAGUAUUCUAAGGCGCUUGAGAGAACUCAGGAGAAGGAACUCGGCAAAUUGACACCGUAACUUCGGAAGAAGGUGUGCCCUAUUAGUGUGUAGUGAACAACGAAGCAUGAAUGGGUUGCAAAAAAUCGGUGGCUGCGACUGUUUAUUAAAAACACAGCACUCUGCAAACACGAAAGUGGACGUAUAGGGUGUGACGCCUGCCCGGUGCUGGAAGAUUAAAUGAUGGGGUGCAAGCUCUUGAUUGAAGUCCCAGUAAACGGCGGCCGUAACUAUAACGGUCCUAAGGUAGCGAAAUUCCUUGUCGGGUAAGUUCCGACCUGCACGAAUGGCGUAACGAUGGCCACACUGUCUCCUCCUGAGACUCAGCGAAGUUGAAAUGUUUGUGAUGAUGCAAUCUCCCCGCGGAAAGACGGAAAGACCCCAUGAACCUUUACUGUAGCUUUGUAUUGGACUUUGAACAGAUCUGUGUAGGAUAGGUGGGAGGCUUUGAAGCAGGGUCGCUAGAUCUUGUGGAGCCAACGUUGAAAUACCACCCUGGUGUGUUUGAGGUUCUAACCUAGGUCCAUUAUCUGGAUCGGGGACAGUGCAUGGUAGGCAGUUUGACUGGGGCGGUCUCCUCCCAAAGCGUAACGGAGGAGUUCGAAGGUACGCUAGUUACGGUCGGACAUCGUGACGAUAGUGCAAUGGCAUAAGCGUGCUUAACUGCGAGACUGACAAGUCGAGCAGAUGCGAAAGCAGGACAUAGUGAUCCGGUGGUUCUGUAUGGAAGGGCCAUCGCUCAACGGAUAAAAGGUACUCUGGGGAUAACAGGCUGAUACCGCCCAAGAGUUCAUAUCGACGGCGGUGUUUGGCACCUCGAUGUCGGCUCAUCUCAUCCUGGGGCUGUAGCCGGUCCCAAGGGUAUGGCUGUUCGCCAUUUAAAGAGGUACGUGAGCUGGGUUUAAAACGUCGUGAGACAGUUUGGUCCCUAUCUUCCGUGGGCGCUGCAGAUUUGAGGAAGCCUGCUCCUAGUACGAGAGGACCGGAGUGGACACACCUCUGGUGUAUCGGUUGUCACGCCAGUGGCAUUGCCGAGUAGCUAAGUGUGGAAGAGAUAACCGCUGAAAGCAUCUAAGCGGGAAACUCGUUUCAAGAUGAGAUCUGCCGGGGCCUUGAGCCCCCUAAAGAGUCGUUCAAGACCAGGACGUUGAUAGGUCAGGUGUGGAAGCGCAGUAAUGCGUUAAGCUAACUGAUACUAAUUGCUCGUGCGGCUUGACCCU